GAUGAAGAACGUAGCGAAAUGCGAUAAGUAAUGUGAAUUGCAGAAUUCAGUGAAUCAUCGAAUCUUUGAACGCACAUUGCGCCCGCCAGUAUUCUGGCGGGCAUGCCUGUUCGAGCGUCAUUUCAACCCUCAGGCCCCCAGUGCCUGGCGUUGGGGAUCGGCGUGGGCGGCGGACGGCUCUCCGGAGCCCGAAGCCAAUGCCUGCCGGCCCCGAAAUUCAGUGGCGGUCUCGCUGUAGUCCCCCUCUGCGUAGUAGCACAACUCGCAUUGGAGCUCGGCGGUGGCCAUGCCGUAAAACACCCCAAGCAUUCUGAAAUGUUGACCUCGGAUCAGGUAGGAAUACCCGCUGAACUUAAGCAUAUCAAUAAGCGGAGGA
rnacentral:misc_RNA from 1 species